rnacentral:rRNA from 1 species
AGCUCCAAUAGUGUAUAUUAAAGUUGCUGCAGUUAAAAGGCUCGUAGUUGGAUUUGUUGCGCGGUCGUCCGGCGGGGCUUCCGGUUUCAUAGUAUCCCGGGGCCGUUUGUCUGGGUUCUUGGCCGCCCCAUUCUUCGGUUGCGUGUCGCUGGCAUUAGGUUGUCGGCUUCUUCGCGCCGAUCGUUUACUGUGAAAAAAUUAGAGUGUUCAAAGCAGGCUUAGGCCGUUGGAUACAUUAGCAUGGAAUAAUGAGAUAGGGCCACGGCGGUCUAUUUUGUUGGUUUACACGUUGUGGUGAUGAUUAACAGGAACGGUUGGGGGUAUUCGUAUUCAAUUGUCAGAGGUGAAAUUCUUGGGUUUAUGGAAGACGAACUACUGCGAAAGCAUUUACCAAGGAUGU